GACGAACGCUGGCGGCAUGCCUAACACAUGCAAGUCGAACGAGACCCCUGACUUCGGUUGGCGGGUCUAGUGGCGCACGGGUGCGUAACGCGUGGGAAUCUGCCCUUGGGUUCGGAAUAACUCAGAGAAAUUUGAGCUAAUACCGGAUGAUGACGAAAGUCCAAAGAUUUAUCGCCCAGGGAUGAGCCCGCGUAAGAUUAGCUUGUUGGUGGGGUAAUGGCCUACCAAGGCGACGAUCUUUAGCUGGUCUGAGAGGAUGAUCAGCCACACUGGGACUGAGACACGGCCCAGACUCCUACGGGAGGCAGCAGUGGGGAAUAUUGGACAAUGGGCGCAAGCCUGAUCCAGCAAUGCCGCGUGAGUGAUGAAGGCCUUAGGGUUGUAAAGCUCUUUUACCAGGGAUGAUAAUGACAGUACCUGGAGAAUAAGCUCCGGCUAACUCCGUGCCAGCAGCCGCGGUAAGUCU
rnacentral:rRNA from 1 species